rnacentral:misc_RNA from 1 species
GAGCAAGGCUUGCCCGCGAAAGCGUUCGAUCAGCCAGUAUCUUUUCUGGCGGGUCCAGCGCUUUCGCGGGCAAGCCUCGCUC